GCAAACUUGGUCAUUUAGAGGAAGUAAAAGUCGUAACAAGGUUUCCGUAGGUGAACCUGCGGAAGGAUCAUUAAAAAAACCUUUUGCCCCUUCGCGACCUCCGCGGUCCGAGGGCAAAAAAAACCCACACUUUGUGCACCGUUACCGUUUUCUUUGGCAGGGGCUUGGGGUGCGUUUUUCGCGUACCUCAACUUCUCCUCUGGCUCUAUCCCAAUGAUGUUUAUAAUCUCUUCGCGGGGUUUCUCAUUUUGGGACAGCCGGACAUGGGAAGCCGUACCCUGCCAAGUGACCCUAAAAUCACACUUUUUUUGUUGUCUGAAACUUUUCGCGUUUUUUAAUAAAACCAAACAUAACUUUCAACAACGGAUCUCUUGGCUCUCGCAUCGAUGAAGAACGCAGC
rnacentral:misc_RNA from 1 species